GGAUAGGGUACAGAGAGCUUUCGCGAUGGCCAGGCAUGUGGAGGUUCCUGUAGGAGUUGCAGCCUGGAAAGGCAUGGAAGCUCUUUGUCCCUUCCCCCAUGCCUCGCCCCAUGCAUCUUUUUAUCAGUGCCUUUUGUAACAUCCUUUAUAUUACACUGGUAAAGUUACGUGUUUUUCGGAGUUCUCUGGGAGAAAAUUAAUCAAAUUCAGAGAGGGAGUUGUGGGAACUCCAACCUGAAGUUCAUUGGUCAGCAGUUCCUGAGGCCCAGACUUUCGACUGGUGCCUGAGGUGGGAGCAGUCUCGGGGACUUCGCUUCAGCCCAUGGGAUCUGACUCUCUCCAGAUGUCCAGACCUCCUAGGAUGCCCUAGAACCAAAGAACAGCACCCACUCCAAAAACUCGCUUUGCAGGUGACAACAAAGAGAUCCCAAUGGUGGAGUGAUCUGCAGACACAACAGGGCACCGCCAUGGCCAACGUGGUCUGCCCUGCCAGGCAUCCUCAGCUGCUCUGCCCUUCUCCAGCAGGCCCACGACAUCCUGCCACAUGUGCCUCAGUUUACCUCCACAUCCCAUCCAUCGACAUCAGUGCAACAGGAGCUCUGGGUUUCUCUUUUCUACCCAAGUUCGGGCUGACUACCUGGUGAAGAGGAAGCUUCCCAGCUGUGUUAAUUUCCUAGGGCCACUGUAACCGAAAAGCAUGAACUGGGAGACUUAAACAACAGAAAGUUUUUGUCUCUCGUUCCUGGCGGCCAGAAGUACGGGAUAGCUCAGAUAUGGGCACUGGUGGGUUGGUUCCUCCCGAGGCUGUGAGGGAGAGCCUGCUCUCUGCCGCUUGCAGCUUCUAGCGGCCCCAGGAAUUCCUCGGCUGUGGCUGCAGAGUUCCAGCCUCCGCCUGCAUCUUCCCGGCCGCAGUCCUCGCUGCAUGUGUCUUCAGCUCAGCCUCCCUCUAUGCAGGCCUGCCUGUGGCCACAUUACCCCUUUUUAUAAGGACCUCAAUGACACUGGAUUAAAGCUCACCCUAAUGAAUUCAUUUUAAUCCCGAUGACCUCUGUAAAGAGCCCAUUUCCAAAGAAGGUCACAUUCUGAGUUACUGCGGACCAGGACUUCACAUCUUUUGGGGUGAACAUAACGUAACCCAUAACUGAUCUGCAAAACCCCCACCUGACAGGGAGAAGAUAGAUAAUGAGAUGCAGCCAAGGGAGUCUUUCUAAACCAAGAUGGAGUUUAAAGAACUGAACAGAUGGUAACUUAAAUGUAAAAGUAGUAUGAUUGCUAUUACUAUUGUUUUUGUUAUUUAUUUUCAACAUUCUCCUGAACCGAGUUCUCUAUCAUUCACUCACUAAUUCGUUGCAGGACUGACUGCAUGCCUACUGUGUGUUAGGCACUGUUCUAGGAGCCAGAUGUAGCAGCAAGUAAAGCAGCCACAAAGUCUGAUCCUCACGGAGCUACAUCCUGGUUGCAGAAGAUCGGCAUGUAUUAAACAUGUGCUUAAGUCAGAUUGUAACAAAUACUAUGAAGAAAAAGCAAGGAAGGAAGGGUUAAGAGUCAGCUGUUUUCUGGCCUUGUCCGGGUUGUUUUCUCGGUGCCCUCGCCCCGUCUCCUGGCCUUAGCCCCUCUCAGUGGCUCUCUCAAGGCUGCUCACCUCCUGCUUGGACGUCUUGCUCCCUGGCCUGAUCAGUCGAGCAGAAUGAUGCCAUCUGGAAUUGGGCCUGGAUUCUUAGGUCGGC